GAGUGUCCAGUGUGCCUGACAGGCUUUGAUGACUUAGUACAGCGGCCACGCACUCUGCCCUGUGGCCACAUAGUCUGCACACUGUGCACAGAUAAACUGAAGGAGCAGCGCCGUGUUACCUGUCCGGAGUGCCGCGUCAGCCAUGCCGUGCCCAAGGGCGGGCAGUUCCCUGUCUGCUAUACAAUUGAGGCCUUAAUAAGAAGGCUGAGAGAUGGCAAGGCGGCACCAGCAGCCUCGCCGCCACCCAGUGCCGGGAAGGGGAAAGGGGCAGCAGGAUCAGCUGGCAAGAAGAGAGCAGCGAGUCUCUCCAAGAAAAUGCGUUCCUUUCUGCAGGAACAGGAGGCCACAGUUGUGGCCGCCAUCACCGCCUGCCAGGAGGCUCAGUCCCAGCUGGACCAGUAUGAGGCCACCCUGACAGGCUGGGUCGAGCGGCAGCAGCAGCUGGAGGACAGCCUCCAGGGACUGAUGAACCUGAGCAGGAGUUCCAGGGAGCUCCUGCAGCAGGAAAAGUUCCGUGUGGCACCGAAGAGGAAGGAGGCGAUGAAGAAGGAGCAGGAGCUGCAGGCUGUGCGGGAGAAGUUGCGCACUCGUGCAACAGAGCAAGAGGCAAUCAAGAUGGUGGGUGAAGUGAUUCACUUCACCAAUAAGGCGGAGCAGGUGUUGGAGGAGUGCCAGCAGUGUUUCCCUGACGCCGGCAUCCUCACCACCGCCAGGAAGGUGAGAGAGGCAUCUAGUGCAGCCCUGGAGGCCGCCCAGGCUGUCCAGGCGGCUUGGGAAACUGUUUCUACGGAAGAGCUUAGGCCCCAGUCAGACCCAGAAGAGCCCAGUUCCCAGUCAGACCCAGAAGACCCCAGUUCCCAGUCAGACGAAGAAGAACCCAGGCCCCAGUCAGACCCAGAAGAACCCAGGCCCCAGUCAGUCAAAGAAGAACCCAGGCCCCAGUCAGUCAAAGAAGAACCCAGGCCCCAGUCAGUCAAAGAAGAACCCAGGCCCCAGUCAGUCAAAGAAGAACCCAGGCCCCAGUCAGACUCAGAAGAACCCAGUUCGCAGUCAGACCCAGAAGAGCCCAGUUCCCAGUCAGACGCAGAAGAACCCAGGCCCCAGUCAUACACAGACUUCACCAUCAUGGAAAAAGUGCAGUUCAUUUUAGAGCCAAACUUGAAGGCCGAGGACUUCCGCAGUCUGACACAGCACACCAGGAGCCUGCUGCAGGCUGGCUGGGUGUUUGCUGAGCUCCAGGUGGAAGGUCAGCGACGACACGCAAGAAUAAGCCUCGAAGCCGGCCGGCCGUGCCUCCAUGUCCUGACGGACCAUCCCCCGCCACUGGGCGCGGCAACCCUGCAGGUCAACCAGGUCGUGCCGCCCUCCCCCCCCUGCACGGUGUUCCUGGACCUGUCCUGGCCGGGCCGUGCGCCGCGCCGGGUCCACAUCCGUCUGAGCCCCGACACCCAGCGGGGCCGCCAGUUCCUGAUGCUGUGCACGGGGCAGCGCGGCCCCUCCUACCGCGGCACCAGGCUGUACGAUGUGUGGUGGAAGGGGGAGCCGGGAGAGUAUGUGUUUGGCGGGGACUACGAGAGUAAUGAUGGUGAGGGGGAAUGUGUGCUGCUGCCUGGCCUUGAGGAGGGUGUGAAGGGGAGGCCAUGGCGGGCAGGGGAUGUGUGGGGGAGGGGGAGGCAGGGUAUGUUUACCAUCACCACCAGGGACGAGGAGGAUGAUGUGUGGCCUUGUUGUUGUGUCUUCGGUGAGGUGUUGGAGGGACUGCACGUGGUGGCCGAGGCAGCCCAACACAGCGACAUUAAGGAGGUGACUGUGGUGGACUGUGGCGUGGUGCUGUAAGGGUAUACUGGCCUGCACCACCACCACCACCACCACCACAACAACAUUAAGGAGGUGACUGUGGUGGACUGUGGCGUGGUGCUGUAAGGGUAUACUGGCCUGCACCACCACCACCACCUCCACAACAUUAUAGAGGAAAUUGUGGUGGACUGUGUGUGGUGUUGAGGGUACUGGCCUGCACCACCACCACCACCACA